rnacentral:lncRNA from 1 species
AUAUGGCAGAAAUUAAUAGUACCUUGGAGCUGUGCAAUGCAAUAGGCCAUCUGUUUAGCUCCUGAAGACAUUUGAAUGUCUUGAAUGAAUGUGUGACCUUUAUUUAAGUAAAUAAAUAACACAUAAUUAUUUUAACUUUUAAAAAAAAUCAAGUCCUACCAUUACCUUGUAAAUAAUGUACCUUAAAUGUUAAUUGAGUUAGGAAAACCACUAGAAAUGAGGAAUAGGAAGAUUCUGACCAGAUGUAUGCAGGCCCAAAACAAACAAAUUUUAAAAAGGCAAAUAUUGUAAAACUUCCAAAAAGGCUUCUUCAGGAAUGAAAGUUUUACUUUUGAUCUUCAUUAUUGACUGACUUGAUUGCCUUGUUUCUACUUUAGGUUCUUUCUUGCCUUGGAGACUCAAUGAUUUUAUGCCUAGUGGUUCAUAAGUCACAAAAUAUCUGGAAUUAGGUGGGAGACCAUGAUAAUGACAUUUGGAAGCAUCUCAGGAGACAAGAAUAAAACGCCAUUUUUUUCCCCACUUCGCUAACAACUCAGUGUUCUGCAAAGUCUGAAAUGUGCUAUGAAAAGUUUGUGUGCUUAGUGAAAUGUUGUACAAUUGGCCAAUCCACUAAGUCUUGGGAAAUGUCUUAGGAGCUUGGCAAGAGGAAGUUCUCAAGAGAGCCGGAAUGCUGCCAGUUUCCAAUUGGCCAAGACACAUUACAAGGACAACCGUCUCUCUGAGCAACCUGGCAUUUCCACUCCAAUUGGAAUCUGCAACAGGAAGAUGCACAGGGGAAGAGGAUUAAAUAAACCUUUUCAGAUUUCUGGUCCAGCUGUGAGAAAAGUAAGCUCUGGAGAGCUGCUGGUCCUGGAAUGAAAGACAGCUUAAGCAGACUCGAGCCAAUUUGCAGCCUGGAGCCUAGUCAGCUGAUCCCAGCUCAGCUCCCAGACUCACAAGUCACCCCAGCCAACCCACAAACUUAUGAGUGAGAAAAAUUGUAUUAUACUUAUUUCCAUAAUGUUGUGAAGAUUCAUAGAGAUGAUAUGUAUAACAUGUUUAGGACAUUACCUAUCACUUUGUAGACAACAAUAUUAUUCAUUAUUAUUGAUUACUUUUUAGUAAACCAUGGCCUUCCCAAUAGUAUGUUUACACUGUUAAAACAUGUUAGUAUACUUAUAUCACCUGCGUAUACUAGAGCAAAACCUUCCAAAGAA